ensembl:lncRNA
GUCAAAAUUUUAUUGGCAUAAUAGAUUGUCACUUGGGACUGAUGUCUAGUAGACACGAGGUGUAAAAUUUUACACUGUUAAACACCUCUGUGCCAGGAAAGACCAUGGAGCAGAUCCUCCUGGAAGCUAUGCCAUGGUACAUGGAAAAAGGAGGUAAUAUGGGAGAACCUGCAUAGAUUCACCAGGGGCAAAUACUGUUGCAUCUACCUAGUGGCCUUUUAUGGUGAUGUCACUGCAUCAAUGGUCCAGGGAAGAGCCACUGAUAUCAUCUAUCUGGACUUCAGUAAUGCUUUGAAAUGGUACCCCACAAUAUCUUUCUCUCCAAAUUGGAAAGAUAUGGAUUUAAUGGGUGGACAGCCCAAUGGAGGAAGAACUGGAUGUAGGAUUGAGUCCAGAGAGUGGUGAUCACUGGCUCAAUAUCUGGAUGGAGAUCAGUGAUGAGUGAUAUCCCACAAGGGUCAGUACUGGGACUGACACUCUUUAAUAUCAUCAUCAUGUGGUUCGAGUGCACCCUCAGCAAAUGUGCAGAUGACACCAACCUAUGGGGUGCAGUGAAUGCACCAGAGGGAUGAGAUGUCAUCCAGAGGGACCUAGACAGGCUUGAGCAGUGGGCGUAGGUGAACCUCACCAGGUUCAACAAAUCCAAAUUAAAGAUCUUGCACGUGCGUUGAGGCAACCCUCACUACCAAUACAAGCUGGGGGAUGAAAGAACUGAAUGCAGGGCUGCCAAAAAAGACCUGGGGGUAACGGUGGAUGGCAGGCCGGACAUGAACCAGCAAUGUGCCCUCACAGCCCAGAAAGUCAACAGUAUCCUGGGCUGCAUCAAAAGAAGCGUGGACAGCAGAUCGAGGGAGGUGAUCCUGCCCCUCCACUCUGCACUGGUGAGGUCUCACCUGGAGUUCUGUGUCCAGAUGUGGAGUCCUCAGUACAGGAGGAGUACAACAUAGACCUGUUGGGGCGUGUCCAGAAGAGGGCCGCAAGAAUGAUCCAAGGGAUGGAACACCUCUCCUGUGAGGACAAGUUGAGAGAGCUGGGGCUGUUCAGCCUGCAGAAGAGAAGGCUCUGAGGUGGCCUUUCAGCAUCUACAGGAGACUUACAGGAAAGAAGGGGACAGACUCUUUAAUAGGGUUUGUGGUGAUAGAACAAGGGGAAAUGGCUUCAAGCUUGAAGAGGGUAGAUUUAGGUUGGAUAUAAGGAAAACUCUUUUCCAGUGAGGGUGGUGAAGCACUGGCACAGGUUGCCCAGAGAUAUGGUUGAUGUCCAGUCCCUGGCAACUUUCAAGGUCAGACUGGAUCAGGCCCUGGACAACCUGACCUAGCUGUGGAUGUCCCUGUUUACUGCAGGGGUGUUGGACUAGAUGACCUUUAGAGGUCCCUUCCAACUCCAAGGAUUCUUUGAUUCUAUUAUUCCAUAUUCUUUCCAGGUUUUUUGAUAUUAAAGAAAGUUACGUGUUAUAACAGCCUGAGGGCAUAUUCCCCAAAGAAUUUUCCCUAUUCUUUUAUACUGAAAAUGGUUUAUAACAGCAGAUGCCAAGCAGCUUAAGUCACCUUUAAACUCUGCAACAAUCUUGAUUCCCUAAAGCGGAAGAAUCAAUUUCAGUACUCCCCUUCAUAUUGCUUAUACCACAAGACUUGAUGUUGUAACUCUGCUGCCUGUACACUUAUGCCAGAAAUUGAACAAUUGUCUGCUAAUAAUACCUGGUCCAAGAGCUAAUGGGAUGUGUCACUCAGCAGUAUGGGACACAGGAUUGUUCCUGGCAUGCAUAGCAGCUGUUUCUAUGGAGGUUCAGGGUGUCAAGGCAAGACUUCUGAAACAACACAGCAAAAUGAAACACAAACCACUAACUUUUAAAAAUUGUGAAUUCUUGUCCAAAUCAGUAAAUAUAUUUAUAGGCCUCCAAGAACGGUCCAGUUAGUCCAUCUGAGUGAGAUGUGGGAAACCAAAUGUAAUCAUCUGCUGAGUGAAGACUGUAGACUGACAUCUUCGAAUAUCCCUGGCUUGGAGCUGAUAAAUGGAUGCAUUCCUUCAGCUCAUCUUGUUGGCUAUUCUCAGAACUAGAGGAAACAGGUGUGAACUGGGAGGAAUAUGGCUUUGAACCAAUGUUCAACAAACAUGAAAAGUAAGAGAUCUACUUAACUGACUAUAAUGUGUG